AGAGUUUGAUCCUGGCUCAGGACGAACGCUGGCGGCGUGCUUAACACAUGCAAGUCGAACGAGAAGAGAUGAGAAGCUUGCUUCUUAUUAAUUCGAGUGGCAAACGGGUGAGUAACGCGUAAGCAACCUGCCCUUCAGAUGGGGACAACAGCUGGAAACGGCUGCUAAUACCGAAUACGUUCUUUUUGUCGCAUGGCAGAGGGAAGAAAGGGAGGCUCUUCGGAGCUUUCGCUGAAGGAGGGGCUUGCGUCUGAUUAGCUAGUUGGAGGGGUAACGGCCCACCAAGGCGACGAUCAGUAGCCGGUCUGAGAGGAUGAACGGCCACAUUGGGACUGAGACACGGCCCAGACUCCUACGGGAGGCAGCAGUGGGGAAUCUUCCGCAAUGGACGAAAGUCUGACGGAGCAACGCCGCGUGAACGAUGACGGCCUUCGGGUUGUAAAGUUCUGUUAUACGGGACGAAUGGUACGACGGUCAAUACCCGUCGUAAGUGACGGUACCGUAAGAGAAAGCACGGCUAACUACGUGCCAGCAGCCGCGGUAAUACGUAAGUGGCAAGCGUUGUCGGGAAUUAUUGGGGCGUAAAGGGCGCGCAGGCGGCGUCGUAAGUCGGUCCUAAAAGGGCGGGGCUUAACCCCGGGGAGGGGACCCGAACCUGGCAAUGCUAGAGUAAUCGAAAAAGGAAAGCCGAAUU
rnacentral:rRNA from 1 species